GCCGCUGUAGCUCAGCUGGUAGAGCACGUCAUUCGUAAUGAUGGGGUCGUAGGUUCAAGUCCUAUCAGCGGCA
rnacentral:tRNA from 1 species